ensembl:lncRNA
AUGACAAUGGAUGGUCAUGCAACAAAUAUCAGUAUGUGCACCCAACUUGGGUGCGAUUUAAAAGCAGACCCCUGUAAGCCCUUGAAGACCCAUUUCCCACAUCCAGUAACCCAUGACAAUGUUUUUGUUAUGAUGGACGCUUGCCACAUGCUGAAGCUGACACGCAAUAUGUUGCAGGCAUACAGCCCAAUUAGAAGCAUAACUGGCAGUAUCAAUUUGAAGUACAUAGUUCAGCUGAACAAUGUCCAAAAGAAAAGUGGACUACAUGCUGCCCAUCGAGUCACAGAUAAGCAUGUCUCCCUGGCUGCUCAGACUUUGAGUAACUCUGUGGCAGUGGCGCUCCACACCUUGCAGGACGUGGGCUAUGCAGAGUUCAAAGAUUGUGAGGCUACUUCUGAAUUAAUUAAGUCCUCUGUGUCUUCUGCAUCGAGUUCAGAUGCUCUGUCCUCCUGUCUGCAUCAAGUUCAUAAGAUGCUCUGUCCUGUUCCUCUCUGUCAUGGGCUUCGUCAUAAACAUUGA